GGGGGGGUGGGGGUAAGGUGAAAAGGGUCAGUGAGUAACCCAGCUCUCUCUCGAAUAUGAUAAAGGCGUCUGCUCUCCCGAGCAGGCAAGCAGGGCUUUGCCAGAAGAGAGAGGAGCUCUGACCCUGCUGGGAGCGUUAGCUGUGGGCUCUGUGGAUGCUGUGCUGUGACGGAGGGCCGAGGGCUGACCAAGUCGUGGGGAGGAUUUGGAUGUAGGCAGAGAGGAGAUGGCUGUGCAGCGUGCUCCCGAAUCUGCUCUGAGCUUGCUGAUGGUAAGUGCUUGCUGAAAUCCAUUUGGGAAAGGGGGGUGGGCGAGGGGAGCUGCACCGCAUGGAUUCAGGGCUCCAAAUCCACAGGAGGGUUUUGUGUGAGCCGGUGCUUGGCUUUUACAGGUCCCAGGGAACUUUGCAAAAGGCUCAUCUGGGGCUUGCAUGGAGACACUGCUCCCACGAUGGGUUUUAGCACAUCUGGACCAGUGCUCAGGGCAGGAUUUUGAAGUCACCUUUCUGGCAGAGCUGGCACUCGUGUUCGGGGUUUAUCCUGAGCAGCAAUUUCAUUUUGUUCAUUAAAUCUGUGUCUUGAAUUCUCACGUCCUCCUGCUUUUGCC
rnacentral:lncRNA from 12 species